UACCUUCACGCACAUCAACCUGUCUGACUCUCGUUUUACUUCUACUACAUGUCUAGCAUAUUUUUCCUUUAUAAUCACCCCUACUCCAUUCCUCUUCCCAUCUACACCAUGGAGCGUGGAUAAAUUAA